ensembl:snRNA U2 U2 spliceosomal RNA
AUCACUUUUCGGCCUUUUGGCUAAGAUCAAGUUUAGUAUCUGUUCUUAUCAGUAAAAACGUUGGCCACUUAUUAACUUACAGGUAAGGACAAGUGUCCCAUUGAAGAUGAAGUGACCUAUCUAAAGUCAGGAAUAUUAUUUCAUUACACAGCAAAAGCUCUAUUCCAACAUAC